UACGUAGGGGGCAAGCGUUGUCCGGAAUCAUUGGGCGUAAAGCGCGCGUAGGUGGCUCAGUAAGUCCGUUGUGAAAGUCAAAGGCUCAACCUUUGAAAGCCGAUGGAUACUGCUGAGCUUGAGUCCGGAAGAGGCGAGUGGAAUUCCUGGUGUAGCGGUGGAAUGCGCAGAUAUCAGGAGGAACACCAAUAGCGAAGGCAGCUCGCUGGGACGGUACUGACACUAAGGCGCGAAAGCGUGGGGAGCGAACAGG
rnacentral:rRNA from 1 species